rnacentral:tRNA from 1 species
GGAAUACGAGUAGCUCAGUUGGUAGAGCGUUAGACUAUAAAUCGAAAAGCCGUUGGUUUGAUCCCCUGUUCCG